AGCAGCCGCGGUAAUUCCAGCUCCAAUAGCGUAUAUUAAAGUUGCUGCAGUUAAAAAGCUCGUAGUUGAAUUUCGGGACUAAUAUGUCGGUCGUGCCUCGGUACGUACUGGUUUAUUGGUUUCUCCUUUCUGAAGAACCAUGAUGUCAUUUAUUUGGUGUCAUGGGGAAUCAGGACUGUUACUUUGAAAAAAUUAGAGUGUUUAAAGCAGGCUCACGCUGUAGAUACAUUAGCAUGGAAUAAUGAAAUAGGACGUUUGAUUCUAUUUUGUUGGUUUCUAGGAUCGACGUAAUGAUUAAUAGGGAUAGUUGGGGGCAUUAGUAUUCAAUUGUCAGAGGUGAAAUUCUUGGAUUUAUUGAAGACUAACUACUGCGAAAGCAUUUGCCAAGGAUGUUUUCAUUAAUCAAGAACGAAAGUUAGGGGAUCGAAGACGAUCAGAUACCGUCGUAGUCUUAACCAUAAACUAUGCCGACUAGGGAUCGGAUGAUGUUAAUUUUUUUAAUGACUCAUUCGGCGCCUUA
rnacentral:rRNA from 1 species